rnacentral:pre_miRNA from 1 species
AUAGUACUCCCUUCGUCCGGAAAUACUUGUCAUCAAAAUGAAAAAGGGGAUGUAUCUAGAUGUAUAUUAGUUCUAGAUACAUAUUUUUUAUCCAUUUUGAUGACAAGUAUUUUUGGACGGAGUGAGUAGUAC